CUAGUUUCAGGUCACCUCCAUCUUCCUGGGCGUAUUGACUGUGCGGUCAGCCAGGAGCCCUGGAUUCUGCAGCAAAAUCCUCCUCCUCCAAAAGGCUGUACAUCAUUUGCCUUCGUUACCUGCAAUUCCGCAGGCAUCAGAUACUGCUUUUCCUGCUAAACUGUGCCGUGCUGUUCUGAGGGCCUCUUGCUCUGUUUCUCGCUGGGAAUCAGUCACUGGGAAGCUUGAAGUCAACCGUAAGCACAGUGUGGUGAUGAGUGAGAACCAUCUUAAGCUGACAUCUUGGCCACCUCCCAGAUCUGGGCCUCAUGCACUCAUCCUAGGGGUGAGUGGUUUUCUGGGACUUCUGAUGACGUUCAACUUUGCAAAAACGAUGAACUCCUCCUCGGAGCAAAGCUCACGGCUCAGAACAAUUCGGCAGCAUCUUAAAGCAUCUGUAUGACCUGUAUGUACAGCACAGAGAGUGAAACUGAACUCAGUAACUGUUUCACCAAGCAGCAACUGGAAAAGGAUAGGAGGAACAAUAAGGCAUUUAUGCAAUGCUCCAUAUGCAUCAGCCUCAGCCAUCUGGGAUCCAGGUGAUCCGUGCUCCCAAGGACAUCCCAGACACACAGAGCGUUACCCGGGGCUGACCUACGCUCACAUCAGUUGCAUUCAUGAAACAACACAACCAAAGGAGGUGUCCAUGUCUUGCUGGAAGGAAUACCCCGAGAUAUUAAAAUGACUGUUUGUCCAAAAGUAUAUAUAUAUAUUAAUCCACAGAAACAAGAUUCCAAAAGAAAACUAAACACUGAACUUGGUCAGCUGAACUAUGUGACAGUGUUCUCUGAGCACUGCCUUGAUGCCAGUGCUAGUCUAGGCAGAGGGAGAACCUUAUCCUUGGUGCAUGUCAGCAGAUCAGUCCAAGAGUUCCAUGCAUAUCCCAAGUAUUGACAGCACCAAGUAUGGAUCCUGCUUGCACAGAAAGCUCUCCAUGUUUAAUUUGAAAUUAAGAUUUUUUUCAUUCUGAUUUUUUUCAAAACAAAAAUGAUGGAGCUAAAGUUCUAUGCAACCAGAAAAUCAAUGGAAAAGAAGGCCCUUUGAAAGCUAAAAGCUUCAAAUGCACUGCUGAUCUUCAAAACUUUGCAGAUAAAAGAAAAAAUAUCCGCCCAUUUCUGGAUUUCAUUGAAAUCAGAAAUUGCAUGCUCUGCACUCCCAUAUGAAUGUCAAAUCUUGCACCUCAUCAGCAUUUAUCAUUAUUCCCACUUAAAAAUGAAUCUGUCACAGAUGAAGUGGAAGGUCGAACGAGCUCAUUGGCCCCUGGCUGGUGCGUGCUUCCCAAAGCUAAAUUCCAGAAGAGUACACAAGAGGACAAAAAGGAUGCAGAAGAGCAACAGAAAGGAGCUCAGCUCGGGGAAAGAGGAGAGCUGCUUUCUGCACGGAUGUCUGAAAUGCCUAAACCAGCCUGAUGCUCACACCAGCUGAGCCAAACUCUGGCCUCCCUGGGGAGUAGCAUCAUGGUGGCCACAGCCUGGGGAGCUCCAGUUCAAUGAUAACCAAUUGUGGGGCUGUCCUCUAGGAAAGCAUCAGUUGCUUAAUGUUCCAUUGUUAAAAAUGGAUGGGAUUAAAGAAAAGUAAGGCCUAAAAAUACAGGCUCAAUGAACUUGCUGAGAAGGCGGCUUCUUUGCUGGAUCUUAAACCCUUGCUCAUCUCACAGUGUUUGUUUCUGUGAAGGUGUGCAUGCCGUUGUUCUACACACAUCUAAUAUAUGCAUGGCAGUGUGCCUCUUGGCUUUUUCUUUUUAUUUAAUCUUUGACUUGACAGCGUUGGAACUUGCUUCUCUGUGAAACUGGAGAAGGAGGGAUUGUUGUGUGCGUCAGGAUUUGCUAUUGUUUUGUUUCUUUCCCUUUUAUUGAGUUACAUAAAGAAUCCCAGCAAUUCCUGGCUGCUCCUGAGUGCUCAGGUGUCCAUUUGUUUAUUUUUGUUGGACUCAGGUUGUACUUGGUGCAAAGACCACCACAUUGGCCACCACUGGAUGGAUGGUUUAGGACACUGAUGAGGGCAGCUGGCCCAGCAAGGAGCCUUAUUUUUACAGCAGCAGAGAAACCUGCCCUUCACUUUUGUUUGGUUGCAUUUGUAACACCCUUCAAGUGUUUUUAAUUUGGGAUUUUCUUCUAGAUGAUCUCAGGAUGAACAACUUCCCCAGAACCCUCCUCCCAUGAAACAACAAUUCAUAAAACCAGAGAAGUGCCCAGGAGCAAAAUACCCUCCAGAUAAUUGAGAGCCAGCUUUGUGAAUUUCUGCUUUGAUAACAGAAAUCAUACAAAAAACUGAGCUGGAAGAAAUUUUUAAGGUCAUCUUACCCUUCCACCAGCCUCCAGAUAGGAUCUGCUGUGCUGAAGGUGCUGGAUUUCAGAUAGUUAUCUCAGCCAUUGCUCAGACCUUCCCAUGGCAGUGUUUUCACACAGCUAAUCAUCCCAGCAAUUCAUGAGUCUCACAACUGGAAAAUGUCUCUUAACAUCUCACCUGAAUUUCCUUUGUUGCACUUUAAGCCCAUUACUUCCUUUCCUGUCCCCAGCAGACAUGAAGAGCAGUUUAUCCUUCCUCUUUGCAGUAGCCUUUCACAUACUUGAAGGGUGUUAUCACGUCUAACCGUCUUCAAUCCCCUAGACUAAACAAACCCAACUCUUUCAGUCUUUCCUCAUAGCUCAUGUUUUCUAGCCCUCUGAUCGCUCUUGUUCCUGCCUUCCUGCUGGACGCUCUCCAGUUGGUCAACAACUGUCUUGGAGCCUGAUGCUCACAAGUGGACACAGAUUGAUUCAACAGGUUAUUUCAGGUCAAAAACAGAGAAGAGUAAUUUCGAAGUGGGAGACCCUCACCAUUAAUGACCUACUUGCACCAGCUGCAGCACCUCUGUGAAACUUGGCUCUGGGUCAAACUGGCAGUCUCCCUGAGAAGUGGUAUACUCACAGAUGAAUAUCAGCAACUCGGAUUCAUCCUGGAACCUAAAAGGCAGCUGAAGCCAAAAAAAAAAAAAAAAAGACAAACAACAUCCUCUCAAUAGUCUGUUAGUAGAAAACUCAGGGACAAAUGACAAAUGGCAUUGUCCUGUUGUCACAGAACAGGGGCUUCUUCCUUUCCAUUUCCCAACGCUUAUUCUUCAGCUGAAGGAACAUGCAGGUAUGUGUAAUAUUGCACUUGCGAAAAGUCCAAAGCAAGCCCCAGGAAGACUUGUCUGUACAUUCAGCACAGUGCAAAGCCUGGAGGGAGGUGAACUCACUUUGGAAAUCACGGCAUAUUGGCUUCUAAGCAAGGAGGAUGGACUUAUUCACUGGACCAUGCUGACACAGCUCUUGAGCUCCUGGUCCUGCUGCCAGCUCUAUGGCCAGCACUGGGAUCCUUGCAGCACACUUCAUCGUAUGGUGUGGAAUUGCCCUAAGAAGCUCAUUGGGUUGUGGGAAAGGUUUUUACUCCUAGAGUCAGUUUUCAGGGCAGAAGGACUUCUGCUGUCUGGCUUUCUUGUCACAUUGCAGACUUUUUCCCUUGAAAUUGCUCUUUCCAAACUAACCUUAAUACCCCUCAAAGAGCACUUCAUUAGCCAAAAUCUUUCGCUUCUGUCAAGAGAAGACAAUGGAAGGACGUGUCAAAACAGCUAUGCUGCUACACCUCAGGCAAGGCUCAGCUCUCUUCUGGGGAACUGCUCCAUUACAUAUUGGCUAGGAUUUGUGCCAAGAUUUGUCAGUUAAUAUUUGCAAAAUUUAAUCACAACAGCCCAGAUUCUGCAUUGCUUUAAUCCCAUUGAAUUGUUCCUUAGUCCGUGGCAAGCGCCUCCUGUUUCAAUUAGACCGUUCAUGGUUAUGGGUGCUUUUGAAUAAGAAGGGAUCAAAACCUCAUUCUAGAAAUCUGGUUUCAAAAUGUCUUCAUCCAAAAGAGGACUGCAUUUCAGCUUCUGAAUUCAUAGUAUAUUAUAAAAAGGGAAGGUUUAAAUGAAUACCAUACCUGGACCAUUGUAGCAAAUGACUGUGAGGACCAGACUUGCUGAGAAGAGGAGAUGAGUGCAGCUUGGCUCUUUGCAAUGCAUCUCCCUGGAAUUUUCCUCCUUUAAAUGAAAGAGAGAUCAAACCAGAAAAAUAAGCAGGUCCUACUCCAAGAGGCAGGAUUGCCUCCUGAGUGCCAGAUAAUAAUAAACGAUGUGUUUGUAAUCCAAAGCAGAGAGACACUGGCAUUUUCUUCGACAUCAAAUGCAAAAAGGGAACAAAUAGUUCUGUAAAGUGCUUUUACAAUGCAAGGUGAAAGAUCUUUCACAAGAGAGAGAAUACUCUCUGGGGACGGCUGUUUGUAUCUUUUCAUUUUACAUCAGCGUGAAGAAUCUGGAAAAAAAGGAGAACUGUAUACGUACCUAAUAGCACAUAAUUUGAGGAAGAAAAGAGAUGAAACUACUGUUAAGAAGAGUCAAUUAAAAAAAUAUACCCAGGAAGGAGAAGAGACUGAAGGGGAAAAAGCUUGUAAGCACUUCUUUGUGCUGAGGUUUUUUAUCUCAGCCCAAAAGUUCCUUCUGAAUGGAACUGCACAGAGGGGAAAUCCCACCUCCUCCGGGAGGCAGCCACUGUGGGACCUGGCGGGUGCUCCUGGCAGCAGCAGCACGGGGCUGCCAGGGAAGCAGAGGAUCCGUGCAGCCCAGCUGGGGGAAAUUAAUUCCAGCAGAACAGAGCUGAUUCAGUUAUAAUUUGACUAGACCUCUCCUCCACAAACACCACAUGCCCUCCAGAAUGAUAUGAGAGCAGCUCCAAAAGUAAUGCCUUCUGUGUUAAUAGGUUGGCCCACAACAUUAGAGGCAGACGUUGGUGGUACAGCAGCAGAGGUUGAACCUUCCCACCAGUAUUCCAUUACAUGUUGUUGCCGUGUGACAGAUGGCAGCAGAGGAACAGUCUGACACAAUGGCAUCUGACGUGGAAGUACGUAAGAAGCAAAGGUGUGUCACUGAAUUCCUCCAUGUGGAAAAAAAUGGCACCCACUGACGUUCACCAAUGACUGCUGAAUGUUUACGGAGACCAAACAGUGGACGUGAGCACGGUGAAAGCUGGACAGUGUGGGCAACGUUUUCCUAGCAACAAUGCCAUCGUAGCAGCUGGGAAACAGUGGGUCACUUCUGCUGGUGCAGAUUUUUAUGAGCAUGUCAUGCAGGCUCUUGUUCAUUGCUGGUGAAAACACAGAGCUAAUGGUGGUGACUGUGUUGAAAAGUACUGUUUUGUAGUUAAGAAUUUGCUCUAUCAAAUACUGUUAUUGUGCUCUUUGUAUCUGUUGUGGUUUCCAUGAAAAUGAAUAGGAGGCACUACUUCUGGAGUGACCUACAUAUUUCAUGCAAUCGUAUAGUCUGGGCUCAGUCCUGUGCCCCAUCAGAAGAUUAGAGGGCAGGAUUAAACUUUGUGCAGAACAUUUUACCUCUGUGCAUCAAUUCCACCUUUUAAAAAGUGUGACGAGCUUUAUUCUCCGGUUAUUUCCUAAAGACACAGGUUGGCUCAGCAGUCCUGGCUUCCACUGGAACACCUGCUCUUUACAGGCUCUGCUGACUGAAGGACAAGGUAAUUAGGUAACUUACCCAAAGGUCACAUGGUGAGUAAAGUAGGAUUAGCGCUCAAGUUCCUCCUGGCAACUAGUCCUGUGCUGCGACAAUUAGAAAAGGUUAACCAUCCUCUUUUAGCUUUUGUUUUCCAUCUUCCAGAAUGUGGCAGCACGUACGCAGGGCUGGGCUGCCUCACAUUUCCUCAGCACUAUUUUGGAAAAAGAAGAAAACACAAAAGAAAGCAAACAAAGAACUCACCCCUGAAAGAGCUUUGAAAAGCCAUCGUAUCUGGUAGGAUGUGGCGCUUAAGAGAGAACGGAGCAAAUACUGGAUUAAGCUAAGCACACUGAAUAUGAAUUCUGGAAAAUGACCUGCUCCCUCGAUAAUCCCCAAAGCAGCACACACAGCCACUGUGCAACGCUUUGUCAUGCUGCUUCCUGUCUUUGCUCAGAAGCCAGCCUGGCUUCCUUGCCCAUCUACCCCAUAGGUGAGGCAAACAUUAGCAAAGGCUCUGCUGGAGUUGUCCUGCCUCAGCUCCUUCUUGCCUGAGACUUCUUGUCCAGGUCCCCUUGCACAGGCAUAAGACAAUGGGAAGAGUCCCAUUGGUACUGGGUGUACCCCACAAAACGUCUGGUUCCUCUUGGUGGGUUGUCCAAGGGCCUGGGCAGACAGCUCUUCUUGGGCGCAGCCAAGUGCUGGUCUUCCUUCCUUGGGGAAGUUUAGUGCUACUUUUGUUAGGACAGCAUAAGUCAUCUAAAGGACUUCUGCAUGUGCCACAUGGAUGCCCCUUUAGACACAAUUUUGGUGGCAUCUAGAUAAGAAAAUCACCACACUCUGUGCUGUCUGCUCCCAAAGCCAUUCAGUGGGACUCUUCCUAUUGGCCUAUGCAGUGUCUCUGCAAGCCAGGGACCUUGGCUGUUUCCAAGAGAGCCUUCCACUUUCCAAAGAAGGUGGACCUCCAGAGUCCUCCUCCGGUCCCUCCAGUGCCACUCCUCCCUCCUUCUCUUGUUGGUGACUGAACACAAAGGUCAGCUGCUUACCACUGAACGCAUUUCAACCACAACCUUCAGAGGACGUGUGUGAGACAGGCUCACCUGCCAUAGUCCCAGAAGGUUCAUCCUGCACUAGGCAGUGUAACUGGGUGAUGUAUUCCUCUUUCCCACUAUAAAUAUAGCCCUAGGGUAAAGGGUUGCAAUAAAAGAAAAUCCUUUCGCCUACUGCACUAUGCAGUGGCAGUGCAGUCAUUUAUUUCCCUGCCUGCUAACUGCUUGAAAUUCAGGUAGCUCUAUGAGCUGGGAAUUUACUGGAUCAUUCAUCAUAAAGCAGCUGUUUCAGAGUCAGACAGGGACCACAGCUUCCCAAAUACUAGUUGUCAGGAUUUGCAUUACUUAAAUUCGCAGUCAUUGAGAGUAUUUGCAAAAGCGAGCCCUAUUCCUAGGCUGUGAGUGGGACAGCUUGACUUUAAAGAGUCAGCUCAUAUUUCUUAUGUGUUAGAAAGAGCACCUGUUUAAACUAUGUAGAUCUGACGAACAGUGGGUAUGUUUUGGGCACUGACCCGUUAAUAGAAAGGGUGGGGCUUUGCAGUCAUUAACAGCAAUCAGCAACUGAAACAAACACAGUGAAAUAAAUCAGCGUUUUCUUUAAUCCAAGGAUAGGCAGGAGGGUGAAGACCAGGACUGAAAUAAACUUCCAACACCUCAUGUCUCAUCCCCAGUUGCUGGCCCUCUCACGUGCCAAGAGUUGAGACACACCGAGAGUUGAGAACCUCAGAAACAUCGCUGUUUCUAUUCCUGCAGCAGUCCCAAGCACUAGUUUGUUAUUAAUGACUCCGAACUGGCAAAAGAGUCCGGAGCAAGACAUUAUAAUCAGAGCAUCUCACACUAAGAUACCAUACUAUCCACUCUAAGAGCUUUUCGUAAACCUUGAUUAAAACUCUAAGAGGAAAGGGCAAGCUUUCUCUGUGCAUUUUUAUCAGCAAGCAAUGGUGAGUUUGCAUGUUUUGCCACCUCCUUGUCACUCACUGCAGAAGUACUCAGAGGGAACAUGACUGCCCAUCUGAACCAAAGAUUUCCCUCAGCCAACUCCCCUGCAACCACAUCCCCUCACGAGUUCUUUCAGCAAGACCCUUAGAUUCUACCACUUUGGUUCUACCAUUCAUAAACUGAUGUGCAAGCAGCUACAUCUGCUCAUCCGCCUUUGUGAAAGCACCCAUCCAUCAGCCACCUAAAAUAAGCAGCUGGAGUUACCCCUCACCUACAGCUCUGAGGACAUCACCGAGUUUGUGUAACCUUGGGUGGCUGCCUGCUCCUGGGGCAGUCCUGGCAAAUGCAGUUCUCACCUGCUCUGUGCAUUAGCAUUGUCCAUCUCAGCGGCCCAAAAGGUUGGGUGCAGGGUUAUGUAUGCCUUCUGAAAUGGGCAGUGAUCUCUUCCACGGCCACUGAGCUCAGAAAGCAUGCCCUGUACCUACAAGACCAGUCACCCACCAAAAAGUGAAAUGGCAGAAAGCACUUGUGUACAAAGCGCUCAUGGCAUUUGCACAGGGCCUUGACUGGGUGCUGGACACAUAAUACUUCUGGAGACUCUGUAAGUCAUGCACAGCCCCUGCUGUAUCACAGCCAUGUAUGGUCACUUGUGACUUGGUAAUGUCAUUAGAGGUCACCAGCACCACCAAAAAUUCUUCAGCCUGGAAUUGUUUUAUGAAAGAUCAAACCUUUCAAAAAUAAUAAAUUUUUCACUACAUCAAAGACAGUUUACUAACAUUCAAUGAAAACCUUUUCCUUAGAUUCUGGAAGAAGGAACGAGCCUCAUAAAAUAAUAAAUAUCUUUGCAUUUUAUCUCCUAUGCCUCUAUCUAUGGAGGUAUUUAUAUGGCCCCCAUAACUGGUCUCUGGGCCCUUACCUGACCUGAUUAGAGAACAGAUCUACUAAACAAAGCCAUGAUUUGUGUGCACACCAAACUGGUCUUCUUAAUAUAGCUUUCUGGAGGAGAGACAAAUUUGCUAGGGAAGUGGAGUUAAUAAGAAAUGAGUUGCUGCAACAAGUUUAUUUGUUGUAGAGGACACUGUUUGGUUGCAACACGUUUUUUUUUUUGUUGUUGCUGUUUGGUUGAUGCCAUGCAAUUUAAAGAGUUUAUCCCUUAAGGGCAGACAGAAGAGCCAAUCAAAACACCGGGGGCCUGAAACUUCACUAUACAUCUCAUCUUUUGCAAAGCAGAAGCAUUCAUAUACCUGAGUCUCGGCCCACUGGUGAAUUCCCCAUGAGUGGGGAUAUCAACAGAAGAGAUCCUACAAUCUCUUUGCAGAGAAGUAGGACAAAUGAAAGUGACCAGACCCAUGGUGCACCGCAGCUACCCUACAUGCCAGAAGAGGCAUCUCUGUCCCUUUGCCACUGCCUGGUCCAGUCCCAGCCUCGGGGCUGCCUUGUCCCUGUAGCCAUGCCCUGUUUAUGGGAAUGGGGGAUGAGUGCUGAGCCUCACUUCUACUUCAAUGGGGACUCUGCACUCUGCUGAUAGGAGGGAACAAGUUGCAACUUUCCUGAGAGCGAAAGGCCACUGCCCUUGGAAGAGCACCUGCACAAUAAGUCGUUUUGGAGGAUUGCUGGGCCAACCUGGGAUGCUGGAACUUGUAAGCUAGCAGCACCAAAAGGUAUGCCAUGCCCAAUCUCUGAAGCAAUACCACAAUCUGCACUGCUCUCCAAAGCAGCACUCUUACACUUCCAGAUGAUCUCAGACAACACCUGGGAGGCCCCAGCCACUGACUCGGAGAUGCCACUUGAAGUCAUGGAGGGGCUUAAGAGGCCAAGAGACUUUUUUUGCAGGGUUUACUUCUUGAAAUGCUUUCACCCCAUUGAAAGAUGGAAUGCCAAAACCAGGCACAAAACCUCUCAAAGAAAGCCCUUCCAGGCUCCAGCUCAGCAUGCCACCUGCCGUCAUCAUUUCUCCAACUGUUCUCAGGGGGCUCUUACAGCAGACGCAUUGGGCUGCAGCCAAGUUGGCAUGAAGUUUGCAUGAAUCUUGAGACAUUUUAUGACCUUAAUAAUGUUUAGCAGAAAUAAGCAGGGCUGUUUGCAGCUCAGGCCCAACCUAGUUAAAAGCAUUUCUUAGCAGGGUGGUGGGCACAUAAAUCAGUGUCUAUCCUCUUGCCUCUCUGUCAUUGACCUUUCUGUGGGAGGAGAAGCUGCACAGAGACAUGCGGAUUGCAGAGUACGCUCAUGUGCCAUUGUGCUGGCACCGUAUCCAUUACGAGCUUCUGCCCUUAUUCUUAGAGGACAUGUUCCAGUAAUAAUAUACCCCAGUGAACUUUUCCAUUAUGAGAUCAUGAUUUCUUCCAUGGGAGAUUCAGUAACACGUUACAAUUUACUAGCCUUUAGUUAGCCAGUAAGAAUUUUCUCACUGCAGCAAUGCAGUGCUGCACUUUUCUGAAGUGAUAAAGUCGUGUUCAACCUUUUAAACAGAGAUUCACUUCCACUUUUACACCUGUGAAAAGGAAACUUUUCUUGCAGAAAACUGAGCCUGCAUUUUCAUAUACUGCAUUUUAUACACCUGAUUUAUGCUUCCCGUCAGACAGCUCUGAAGGCCAAAUACUUGGACUGACAACCAUGAAAAAAUUGUGAGCACAGGGACAAAAAGCAAAUGCUAAUUUUGCUACUGAGAUCUCUGAAAGGGAGAUUUAUACUUUUGAAAAUGCCUAAAAAGAAACUCAUGAUGUUGCGAAUAAAGCGUCAAUAUAUUUUAACCAGGACAGGGCAUCACUGUUGAUUUAUAUUGAUGUAAUAUAAUCAUGCUUGUUACAAUCAUUUCAAAGGGAAGAUAUUCACAGAGAAGUGCAAUGGAUGACUCAGGUCUUUGUCACAGCAAAACAAUAAAAACUGCAGAAUUUAUAGCUGUAUAAUCAGGUUUUUAUUAACACCAAAUGUAAUUAGAUAACAAAGUCCAUCUCCUAAGCCUUUUCUCAAGACUUGAUCUGACCAAAGUUCUUCCCUCAAGAGGCUUUGUUUAGCUCAGAUCCUAGAUUGCAUGAAAAUGGUUCUUGGUUAGAAAACUGCACCCUACAGAGAGACUUAAGGAACUCUAUCUAUUUGGCUGAUCAAAGAGACAGCUAAGAGACAACUUGAUGGGGUUUAAGAGUGUCUGCGCAAAAAGCAUCUAGAAAGAGGGGUUCUUUGCUUGGAAAUGUGUAAGUUGAAGUGUGAAUAAUUAAGAGCAGAAACAAGCCUUUAACAGUGAAGGCAUUAGCACUGCAGUAGAUUCUCAUGAGACUUCCAGAUUUUCCAUUCUUUGAGGUUUUUCAUAGACAACAUCUCUCUCCCGACCCCCCCCCCCCCCCCCCCAAAAAAUAAGGCAGAUCAUUGGUGGGGCCAAACAUAAAAUAAAAAGAUUGACUGCAUGAAAAAGCUACUGCUCAUGGCUUGGCUCAAGUAGGUAUUCACAUAAAUAUUUCUAGAGCCCCAAUCCAUUGCCUUAUCUGCAUCAGUAGGCUGCAGAUCCCAUCUUCAUGGCCAGUCUUGAAACAUGCCUAGGCACUGGCUCUGUGCAGAGGUGGAGCCUCAAACAAAACUGCUUUGUUUUCCAGCCAUUACCCCAUUCUUCAGGACCAUGGCUGACUGGAAGAUCUGGUGCUCCACUGUAAGUUUAGAGUAUGUGGUUGGUAGUUUGAAAAUGUAAUGGGAACAUUUAGCUCCUUUCUCAGUAUGUGAAGUGCACAGAAGAUGAAAUUCAGAUUAUAAAGAUCUGCACACAUUUCUUUCUCUCAGUGUUCUCUCUAUGCCGGAGUAAUUUUAAGUUUGGGUCAGCUCAACUCAUACAUCAGACCUGCUCCCAGUAUGAAAAUCACACUGGAUUCUUCCUUCUCCCCAGAACUGAUUCUAGGUCCUUGAAAUAAUCUCACAAGAGUCUUCUUCAAAUAGCUUUUUUAAUCCCUUCAGUUCUUUGCCCUGUCCUAUUUCCAUUCUCCGACGCUCUCUUUGUAGAUAUGAGCCACGUUCCCACCGACGUCAUUACCAUAUCAAUUGUUUGCUCCGAGGACGGUCAUUAUGACUCCGUUUGUCUCUGUUAUUACUCGUUGCCCUUAGACUGGUGCUAGAGGCCUUGUCGGCACAGCCAGAAACAGAAAACACUGCGUGAUAGGGCAAUGACCAUAGCAACAACAUCACAUUAAUCAGGGUUUGUACUCCGUGUGAAGACAAACUUCCCAAACCAUCAAACUGUGUGAUACAAGAGAGCAUAAAGUUCCCUAUCAGUUGAGAAACUACAAAUCCCCCAAAUAUUCACUCCUAGACCUUCCUUCUGCAGGUGAGAGCAUGAAUUGGCCUCCAACAGGUUAACCCCUCAUAACACUUUCAGAGGAUAAUCAACACUUAAUGUCACGGUAGAUGUUAGAGCAAAAGACAUCUGAGCCUUCUGAAGCUUUUAGUUUGCAGCCCUCAUUGGGUGCUGAUAAUUUGGUUUCCCUCAAUUUAGGGAACACGAUUCAGACAGUUAAGGCUGAGCAGCAAACCUUACAAAUGCCAUGGGAUUUCUAGAAUUUAGGCUGAUUCAGG
ensembl:lncRNA